rnacentral:rRNA from 2 species
AGUCGAGCGGACCGACGGGAGCUUGCUCCCUUAGGUCAGCGGCGGACGGGUGAGUAACACGUGGGUAACCUGCCUGUAAGACUGGGAUAACUCCGGGAAACCGGGGCUAAUACCGGAUGCUUGAUUGAACCGCAUGGUUCAAUCAUAAAAGGUGGCUUUUAGCUACCACUUACAGAUGGACCCGCGGCGCAUUAGCUAGUUGGUGAGGUAACGGCUCACCAAGGCGACGAUGCGUAACCGAACUGAGAGGGUGAUCGGCCACACUGGGACUGAAACACGGCCCAAACUCCUACGGGAGGCAGCAGUAAGGAAUCUUCCGCAAUGGACGAAAGUCUGACGGAACAACGCCGCGUGAGUGAUGAAGGUUUUCGGAUCGUAAAACUCUGUUGUUAGGGAAGAACAAGUACCGUUCGAAUAGGGCGGGACCUUGACGGGACCUAACCAGAAAGCCACGGCUAACUACGUGCCAGCAGCCGCGGUAAUACGUAGGUGGCAAGCGUUGUCCGGAAUUAUUGGGCGUAAAGCGCGCGCAGGCGGUUUCUUAAGUCUGAUGUGAAAGCCCCCGGCUCAACCGGGGAGGGUCAUUGGAAACUGGGGAACUUGAAUGCAGAAGAAGAAAGUGGAAUUCCACGUGUAGCGGUGAAAUGCGUAAAGAUGUGGAGGAACACCAGUGGCGAAAGCGACUCUCUGGUCUGGAACUGACGCUGAAGCGCGAAAGCGUGGGGAGCGAACAGGAUUAGAUACCCUGGUAGUCCACGCCGUAAACGAUGAGUGCUAAAUGUUAGAAGGUUUCCGCCCUUUAGUGCUGCAGCAAACGCAUUAAGCACUCCGCCUGGGGAGUACGGUCGCAAGACUGAAACUCAAAGGAAUUGACGGGGGCCCGCACAAACGGUGGAGCAUGUGGUUUAAUUCGAAGCAACGCCAAGAACCUUACCAGGUCUUGACAUCCUCUGACACCCCUAGGAAUAGGGCUUCGCCUUCGGGUGCAGAGUGACAAGGUGGGGGAUGGGUUGCGUACCCCAGCCUGGAAUGU